UACAGAGGGCGCGAGCGUUGUCCGGAAUCACUGGGCGUAAAGGGCGCGUAGGUGGCCACUAUAGGGCCGCGGUGAAAGUUCGGGGCUCAACCCUGAAUCUGCCGCGGCGACUGUAGGGCUUGGGCACCGUAGAGGCAGAUGGAAUUCCGGGUGUAGCGGUGGAAUGCGUAGAGAUCCGGAAGAACACCGGUGGCGAAGGCGGGUCUCUGGGCCGAUACUGACGCUGAGGAGCGAAAGCGUGGGGAGCGAACAGG
rnacentral:rRNA from 1 species